UAUCUGGGCCCAUACAUGUAAGCAGUUCAAUAGGUGGCUACAUUUGCUCCAGUGUAGAAUUCUCAUUCUCUCAAGAUCAUUUUGAAUUUUGGUUUGGUCCCUCUCUCAGUUUACUACACUUUCCAGUAUUGGUUUUACCUGAAAAUCUGCUCCUGGUUGAAUUUAUAUAAAAUAAAAGCACCAAACAAAGAAAGAGAAGAAACUGCCUUGAAGAAUGCACAGUGACCCUUGAGUGUGGUAAGUUUCAGUGUUCGUUCUGAAACUGGAAGCCCUCAAAGAGAGGAGAGAAACAUCACCAGGUGUGAAAUACUAGUUUGCCGCAGGAGCUGUCAUCGUCUGGCCAACACAAGAAGGCCCAUAGACACCAGACAAACCCUUGUGGAACAUCAGAAGACAAAAGACUUUUUUGAUUGCUCUCCCCGCCUCCAGAGGAGGGAUGUGCACAUGGACUCCUCCCAUCACCUUGAACUGUGGGGAAAGGGAAUAAAAAUCCCCGACAAGAAGAAACGGCACCUUUGUGGCUGUUUGAACUCUGAAGGGCCAGAGACUUGAAACUGAAGCCAGAGAUCCCCAGGGGCUGCCUCCUGGGGUGCCCUGAAAGACACUUUGAAUUGACAGAUGAGGACAAUUCUGUCACUCUCAGGAGUCAGAUGGUAACUCAUUGGUUGUACAUGUUCGCUUGCUUUGACCUGUAAAUGACGCUCUUAGUCCUUUCCCCUAAUUAAUAAACCUUUCGCUAGUUUCUUACA